UGGGGAAUAUUGCACAAUGGGCGCAAGCCUGAUGCAGCCAUGCCGCGUGUGUGAAGAAGGCCUUCGGGUUGUAAAGCACUUUCAGCGAGGAGGAAGGGUGGUGUGUUAAUAGCGCAUCACAUUGACGUUACUCGCAGAAGAAGCACCGGCUAACUCCGUGCCAGCAGCCGCGGUAAUACGGAGGGUGCAAGCGUUAAUCGGAAUUACUGGGCGUAAAGCGCACGCAGGCUGUUUGUUAAGUCAGAUGUGAAAUCCCCGCGCUUAACGUGGGAACUGCAUUUGAAACUGGCAAGCUAGAGUCUUGUAGAGGGGGGUAGAAUUCCAGGUGUAGCGGUGAAAUGCGUAGAGAUCUGGAGGAAUACCGGUGGCGAAGGCGGCCCCCUGGACAAAGACUGACGCUCAGGUGCGAAAGCGUGGGGAGCAAACA
rnacentral:rRNA from 1 species